GAUUGUCCCACUGCAUUCCAUCCUGGGCAACAGAGCAAGAGUCUGUCAAAAUAAAAAAGAAGAAAAAAAGAAGAAAGAUUUUAAUUAUUUUUAUCAACAAUUAUACAUUUUCAGUCUACUGUUAUGAAUUGCCACAACUUGGAGGCUUAGAACAACACAAAUUAGUACUCUCACAGUCCUGAAGGCUACAGCUCUGCAAUCAAGAUAUCAGCAAGGCCAUCAUUCCACUAAGGCUCUAAGGAAGAAUCCAUUUUUGCCUCUUCCUGCUUCUGGGAUGCAUCCACUUUAUUAGACGGCAAACUAGAAAAUGCUUCCUACAGUCGCCACAUAAAAAGAAUUAUCAUCAUGCCAAACAAAUUAUCAUCGGUGCCAAUGAUGUGAGAAUUGAGCAGAAAGAGCAAUGCAACAGGUUUUCUUUUCUGGCCAUGCCAAGGUGGAAGGUGAUCUUAAUUGAAGAAAGAAUGCUCAAAGUAGGGUGGGGCAGUAGGAGACACUGAAUUCACAUAUCAUUGAAAACCAAAAUAUUAGAAGAGCUUAAGUUUUAAAGAAUGCUGGCAAAUGUUUAAGCGAUCAGCACUGCUGGUUUACUAUAAACAUAAUGGACUACACGUUGAGUACCUUGACAUAUGAGUAAAUUCAUAUAGUACAAAUCAUUCAACACACAUAUCUUGAGAACAAGUGAGAAGACAGCCAUCUGCAAACCAGAGAGAAAGUCCUCAUAAGGAACUGAAUCAAACUUCACCUUGAUCUUGGGCUUCCCAGCCUUUGCAACUGUGAGAAAUAAAUGUGUCUUUAUGCCA